rnacentral:rRNA from 1 species
GACGAACGCUGGCGGCGUGCUUAACACAUGCAAGUCGAACGGAAAGGCCCUGCUUUUGUGGGGUGCUCGAGUGGCGAACGGGUGAGUAACACGUGAGUAACCUGCCCUUGACUUUGGGAUAACUUCAGGAAACUGGGGCUAAUACCGGAUAUGAUCUCCUGCUGCAUGGUGUGGGUUGGAAAGUUUCGGCGGUUGGGGAUGGACUCGCGGCUUAUCCGCUUGUUGGUGGGGUAGUGGCUUACCAAGGCUUUGACGGGUAGCCGGCCUGAGAGGGGGACCGGCCACAUGGGGACUGAGAGACGGAGCAGAAGCGUACGGGAGGCAGAAGGGGGGAAUAUUGCACAAUGGGCGGAAGCCUGAGGCAGAAACGCCGCGUGCGGGAUGACGGCCUUCGGGGGGUAAACAGAUUUCGAAGGUGACGAAGCGUGAGUGACGGUAAUGGGUAAAGAAGCACCGGCUAACUACGUG